rnacentral:hammerhead_ribozyme from 1 species
UCCUAGUUGACGAGUCUCACAUAGGACGAAACGCGCGUCCUAGAU